UACGUAGGGGGCAAGCGUUGUCCGGAAUCAUUGGGCGUAAAGCGCGUGUAGGCGGCCCGGUAAGUCCGCUGUGAAAGUCAAAGGCUCAACCUUUGAAAGCCGAUGGAUACUGCGGAGCUAGAGUACGGAAGAGGCGAGUGGAAUUCCUGGUGUAGCGGUGGAAUGCGCAGAUAUCAGGAGGAACACCAAUAGCGAAGGCAGCUCGCUGGGACGUUACUGACACUGAGGCGCGAAAGCGUGGGGAGCGAACAGG
rnacentral:rRNA from 1 species